rnacentral:hammerhead_ribozyme from 1 species
GGCCGGCAUGGUCCCAGCCUCCUCGCUGGCGCCGGCUGGGCAACAUGCUUCGGCAUGGCGAAUGGGAC